UCGAAGAAAGUUAGUGUAUCGCUGACUAUAGAACUGAUAACACUUGGAACUUGUCGGCCGUCUCGUUUGUCCUCCCUCGGAAAGUGACUAGUCAAAUUUUUGCUGUCCAUUUCCUCACUUUUGCAAAUGCUUAUGACCACAUAAAAUGGGGACUUACACAUACGAGAAGGUUUACUGUUCAAUCUUGCUACAACCAAAUCAAAUCCAAUGAUAAUAAUUCUACUAGCCGGACUGAUAGCAGCUGGUUAUGGAACCUGCCUAUUGCCCUAAGAUUAAAUAUUUCCUGUGGUUGUCAAGCUUGAAUAGGCUUCCCACUUCUGCUUACUUGCACCAUAUUUCAUGCCUUGAAUCGCCGUUCUGUAGACUUUGUCAGCAAGGAGUGCCUGAGACUUCAUACCAAUUGUUCUUUUCAUGCUCGGGACUAGGAAACUUCUGGGGAAGUUUAGCUUUUCAAUUGGCUUAGGACCCUCCCUUUCGAUCCCCCCGCAAAGCUCCGACGCUUCCUCUACUUUUAUGUAUUGGUUUAAUGCUAACAUUAACAGAUAUACCACCAAUUCUCCUCGGCUACCUCUUGGAGUCCUGCUCCCUUACUGUUUGUGGGUUAUUUGAAACCAAUGUAAUAAACACCUUUUUAAUGGAUAUGGGACUGAACCAUCACUAUUCUUAGCCAUUAAUAUGGCUGCGGAAUUUUGGUAUUUAACAAGAAACUUACACAAUACCAAUAUUCCCAUCACUGUUUAUGUCAAAUGGAACCCUCCUAAUAUUAGCAAUCUCAUGUUGAACACUGAUGCUGCUAUAUCUUCUGAGCAUAGUAUUGGCGGGCUAAGGGGAUUUUCCGUAACUUCAGAGGUAUCUGCUCCUACACAUGGGUAAUUCGAUGGUAAGCUCGAUCUACAGGAAGCAAAACAGACUAACUAAUGACCUGGCAAAAAAAAUCCAUCUCUACUGCACUAUCAUCCAGUUUAUUUCAUAGUACUUUGAUAUUGGAUACUGUAUCCACUUUUUGAUCACCUCGUCAAGAUUUGAUGAAGUUUUUAUAGGCUGAUAUGUGAGGAGUUUUUGCUACUACGUGUGUUAAAUCUGCAGCAGCUUUGCCACCUAGCGUCUCUGUUAAUACUCCUACUAAUUCUAGAUGAUCUGUAAAUAUUUCAUUAUGUACAAAUAUUACGAUGACUAUGC